UUACGUUUCUUUCUCUACUCAUAUCUCAUAUUUUCCGUUUCUUAAUUCUCAAGAAUCUUAAAACGUUUCUUAUUUAAUUAAUCUUCUAUUUAAUUAUAUAGUUUAUAUUACCGAUUUGGAAGCUUUUUGCACAUUUGGGGCGAUUUAGUACUUCCGGAUAGAUUCUGAAAGGACGAGUCGUCUCAGGUAAAGGCCCCAUAAAAUGGAGCUUUUCUGGGUAAAUCCGGUGGGUGCUUCUUCACGACGGAGCUGGCGAUCGAAAGUGCGGCCUAUGGAAAUUGGAGGACCAUUGUUCUUCAAGCUGGCGAUCAGCUUGUGGUGGUCUCUGAUGUGCACACGAAGUGUUUGGCUGGUAUGGAUUUCCGUCAACCUUCAUCGGAGUUCUUGGUCCAGAAGGACCGAGUUCUGAUCCUUCCUGCUUUGGCGGCGUUGAUGCUUGUUUGGAUGGAGUUUCCGCCGUGGGUUCAAGAAGGCCAAACGAGAAGCCACUUCAAGAUUCCUACUCAACGCCAACGGGUAAGGAUCCCGUUGAUUCCGUUCCUAUUCGGAGGAUGUUUCAGGGGCUUUCUUUCUUGGUCAAGGGUUCCCAGUGCUGAAUUCCAAGACUCAAAUUGUGGUUCCUCAGGGCAAAUGAAGAUCCAUUCUAGUUGUGGUGGAGAAGGAAUGCGUUGCUCGUAUUAACAGUAUGCCCCGCCCAUAAAACUUUGGUUUAUGUAUUAUUUUUUUCAUAUGGCUUGUGUUGUAUGUAUUAUUUUUUUCAAAAAAAGAAAUUAGCCUUUACUAA